CAAGUGCUGACAAGACUCCUUGGGGUGACCUUAGGCAAGUCAUCCUAUCCAGCUCUUGCAGCAGCAUGAAAAGGGAAGGAUAAUUACACACCCGCAGCCUCCCUGAGACAGCAAAAGGGUUGGCUGGUUUUUAGGGGACACUGAAAGGCAGUGAAAGGGACCACAAAGUACCUAAGUAGAUAUCUCUAUCUACUCCACACCUCUACUAGGGGAAAUGAUGCAUUCUCCUUCACUUACCACACAAGUUAUUGCACAAGUCCUUCAAUAAAAAUCUCCCAAUGGAUCCUUUAUGGAUAGGUAAUAAGAAUGACAGAAAAGCAGGAUCUGCAUCCCCCAAAAUACAGUAAUUUAUGCUUCCCCAAGGCAUGCCUACACUCAAUUUGAAAACCACUAAGCCAUACCAACAACCCUGUGGUUACCUCUGCUCAGCCUCUCCAGCAAAAUUAGCAACAAUGAAGAUUGUUAAAUUCUUAUGGCCUGGAGACUUCAAGGAAGAAAGCAACAAAGAAUUGACUCCGCAUCCAAAUACUGGCUCAUUCUUCGUGUUGAUAUAAUUAUGAAGUUUCAGUCAUUGCAAAGCUGUUCACACUGCUUUCUCAACCACAUGCAUUGCAAAAUGUAUGCUAACUGCAGUUUUUCCAUUACAAAACUAGCUGGUGAAGUCACUGUUCUAUUUCCAGCUCAGCGCUGGCACUGUGCAGAUGCUCACUGCUUAGUAAAUAGACAUCUUUAUAUAUACACACAUGCAUAUAUUUUUUUUUCUAAACCUGCUGAAUAAAAAGCUUGAAGCUUUAGAUAUCUUUUCUUCCAAGUCAUUUUAAA